rnacentral:lncRNA from 1 species
AGGCUCUUGACCUACCCUAAUCCAUUUAGAUAGGUCAGCCCAAUUGCGCCAAUUAACUAUGACUCUUUCUAAUUAAUUCUUGAAUUAAACUUUUUUAAUUUUUAUGAGUUCAUAAGUCAAGAUUGACAUCUAGCAAUAUGUCAUGACUAUCUAAAAGAGAUGAAAUUUGAUAAAAAUAUUAAAAAUAUCUUUUAGUGGCAAGUUACCAUGUAAUUCAAUCCUUCAGUUAUACAACACCCC